rnacentral:rRNA from 1 species
UAGGGAAUCUUCGGCAAUGGACGAAAGUCUGACCGAGCAACGCCGCGUGAGUGAAGAAGGUUUUCGGAUCGUAAAACUCUGUUGUUAGAGAAGAACAAGGACGUUAGUAACUGAACGUCCCCUGACGGUAUCUAACCAGAAAGCCACGGCUAACUACGUGCCAGCAGCCGCGGUAAUACGUAGGUGGCAAGCGUUGUCCGGAUUUAUUGGGCGUAAAGCGAGCGCAGGCGGUUUCUUAAGUCUGAUGUGAAAGCCCCCGGCUCAACCGGGGAGGGUCGUUGGAAACUGGGAGACUUGAGUGCAGAAGAGGAGAGUGGAAUUCCAUGUGUAGCGGUGAAAUGCGUAGAUAUAUGGAGGAACACCAGUGGCGAAGGCGGCUCUCUGGUCUGUAACUGACGCUGAGGCUCGAAAGCGUGGGGAGCAAACAGG